UGGGAAUAUUGGGCAAUGGGGCGCAAGCCUGACCCAGCAACGCCGCGUGAAGGAAGAAGGUUUUCGGAUUGUAAACUUCUGUCCUAAGUGACGAAGGAAGUGACGGUAGCUUAGGAGGAAGCCCCGGCUAACUACGUGCCAGCAGCCGCGGUAAUACGUAGGUGGCGAGCGUUGUCCGGAAUUACUGGGUGUAAAGGGAGUGUAGGCGGGAAUGCAAGUCAGAAGUGAAAACUAUGAGCUUAACCCAUAGCCUGCUUUUGAAACUGUAUUUCUUGAGUGAAGCAGAGGCAAGCGGAAUUCCUAGUGUAGCGGUGAAAUGCGUAGAUAUUAGGAGGAACACCAGUGGCGAAGGCGGCUUGCUGGGCUUUUACUGACGCUGAGGCUCGAAAGCGUGGGGGA
rnacentral:rRNA from 1 species